rnacentral:lncRNA from 1 species
UACUUCCCUCCUUCAGUUCCUAUUUGAGGAAACUGAGGCUAUGAGCAUCUGUCCCAAAUACACAGAAUUAGUCCUGGGCUUGGACCCAAGUCCUGCAGUAGCAGCCACUACCUCUGACAGGCAGAUCUGUCCUCAAAACAAAGCAGGGCUCUCAUCACGGAGCUGGGACAGCCUGCCUGCCUGGUUGAGAGGCAGAAAUGGCUUCAUGGGAGCUCAGCACAUGCUUGUUCCCUCAGCCAUGUGACUUUGGGAAACUCACCAAAACCUCUCUGGGCCUCACUGGCUCAUUUGUCAAGAGGCGAUGCUAACCUGUGCCGUCUGCAUCGCGGGGUUCUGUGAGGGCCUGCUGAGAGAAGCAGAAGCCCAGGAGACAGAAAGCAGACAGGCUACAAUCCCGUCCGGGAGCCCUGCUCUGGAACCAGGACCUGCCCCUGCACGGGGUCCAAGCGAGGCCCACGGUCCACAGAGCCAGACCCUGCCCCGAACCGAUGGCCAAUCCUAGAAGACAAAAGACAGAGAGAUGGUCUUCCUGAACCAGGAACCCCAGAGAAAAUUUCCAAGAGGAGAUAUCCUAACUGGAGGAGGAAAACAGGGAAGAAGGAUGCUCCAGGGAGAAGGAACAGUGCAGCCCCAGGAGCAGAGGACACGGAGGAGGCUGCCUGUGG